AUACGGGAGGCAGCAGUGGGGAAUCUUGCGCAAUGGGCGAAAGCCUGACGCAGCAACGCCGCGUGUGUGAUGAAGGUCUUCGGAUCGUAAAGCACUGUCGCGAGGGAAGAUACGCCUUUGGAUAACACCUGAGGGCUAAGACGGUACCUCGAGAGGAAGCACCGGCUAACUCUGUGCCAGCAGCCGCGGUAAUACAGAGGGUGCGAGCGUUGUUCGGAAUUAUUGGGCGUAAAGCGCUUGUAGGCGGCCUGUUAAGUUCCGUGUGAAAUCCCCAGGCUUAACCUGGGAAGUGCGCGGAAAACUGGCGGGCUUGAGUGCCGGAGAGGGUCGCGGAAUUCCCGGUGUAGAGGUGAAAUUCGUAGAUAUCGGGAGGAACACCAGUGGCGAAGGCGGCGACCUGGACGGACACUGACGCUGAGACGCGAAAGCGUGGGGAGCAAACAGGAUUAGAUACCCCCGUAGUCC
rnacentral:rRNA from 1 species